rnacentral:rRNA from 1 species
GGAAAGGCGGGUGCUAUACAUGCAAGUCGAGCGAAUGGAUUAAGAGCUUGCUCUUAUGAAGUUAGCGGCGGACCCGUGAGUAACACGUGGGUAACCUGCCCAUAAGACUGGGAUAACUCCGGGAAACCGGGGCUAAUACCGGAUAACAUUUUGAACCGCAUGGUUCGAAAUUGAAAGGCGGCUUCGGCUGUCACUUAUGGAUGGACCCGCGUCGCAUUAGCUAGUUGGCGAGGUAACGGC